AUGAACGCUGGCGGCGUGCCUAAUACAUGCAAGUCGAGCGAACGGACGAGAAGCUUGCUUCUCUGAUGUUAGCGGCGGACGGGUGAGUAACACGUGGAGAACCUACCUAUAAGACUGGGAUAACUUCGGGAAACCGGAGCUAAUACCGGAUAAUAUUUUGAACCGCAUGGUUCAAAAGUGAAAGACGGUCUUGCUGUCACUUAUAGAUGGAUCCGCGCUGCAUUAGCUAGUUGGUAAGGUAACGGCUUACCAAGGCAACGAUGCAUAGCCGACCUGAGAGGGUGAUCGGCCACACUGGAACUGAGACACGGUCCAGACUCCUACGGGAGGCAGCAGUAGGGAAUCUUCCGCAAUGGGCGAAAGCCUGACGGAGCAACGCCGCGUGAGUGAUGAAGGUCUUCGGAUCGUAAAACUCUGUUAUUAGGGAAGAACAUAUGUGUAAGUAACUGUGCACAUCUUGACGGUACCUAAUCAGAAAGCCACGGCUAACUACGUG
rnacentral:rRNA from 1 species